rnacentral:lncRNA from 1 species
UCCAUCUUCAAUGGCAAAACAACUACCACACUGCUACAUCUGUUCUCCAUUCUUUCAACCGCCUGAAUCGCUCUGGAACUGAACUGAAUUGGACAAGCGCAUGAUGAAGUUUGAAGCCAAUUUAGGUUCUCCAUGCAGUUCAUCCAUCUAGUUAAAAACAAAUACAUCAGUGACGCUUCAUGAACCAUUACAUACAAAGAAUAGGCUGGCAGAACAUGAGUGGACAAAUCAGGCGAUAGCCCUUGCACACCAGUACAGGCUUUCCCGCUCAACUUCUGCACUGGUAUUUGAGAAGUUGGUAAUUGCUAUUCAGAGUCUUCAAAAACUUCCCCAUCAUCAAAAGCUCGAACAUCAAGCUGAUAACGGAGGAGUCCUCCAAUGCCACCAAAACCUCAGCAAAACUGAGACCCUUCUUGUGACUUGUUGGUGACAAGUUCCAGAUUGCAACCAAAUCUCCUAUACUCGUUAGCAAACCACUCAAGCAGUGACAACUUCUCCUGAAACUCUAAUUCGGCAUUUGAAGCAGGAUCACGAAGUUACUCUGACCAGCCUCCUGGUCCUUGUUCAACUGUUUGACAACAAUUUCUCCAGAACUGCUAUUUUUCAGCACAUGCCUCGUAAUAUCCAGAUUUUCCCACACAAUAAGUGUAACGCCCCGCAUUUCGGGCUACAAUAUAGACCAUGAAUCCGAUGCGUUGAUAAUUCCGAAGCCAUAAAUCCUAUGCCAAUAUGGCAUGUUAAUUAUUUGUGUAGUAUGUGAACCCAUUCAAGUUUGAAUGUAGACCAUAGAGGUCCUUUGACUCAAGGACGAGUUGAAAACUAUUUCGAUCGAUUAAGUUUUAGUGUCGCGACACCCUUGGGUCGAGACACCCUGUUGUGUGAUCUUGUGUGUCUUCCCCUCACGUAUAUUCUAAUCUCGGCGGCAACCGAGGUUUGACAGUUGGUGUAAAUUACGUAGGGUAUUCCACCUAGCUCGUAUUCCACCUAGCUCAGCUGCAUUACAUUGUUGUUGAAAAACUAUUACAUUAUGCCCAUGUGUUUUCAAAUGAAUUGAUAUGAAACUGCUUUAUAAUGGCUCUCACCUAUAUUUUGUAAAAAUAUUAUGUUUUGUUUUGAUAUCUCUGCGUACCAGUACUUUUGUAUUGACUCCCCCUUCCUCCCAGGUUUGGAGGCACAGUCUAGAGGUCCAGAAAAUCAGUAGAUUCCUCAGAAAGAUUUGCAGAGUUACUUGGUGAGCCUUCUAUAUUUCAGAAGGCCUGAUGUCUGGCAGUUUCAUUUAUCAGUUAUUAGUUUUGGGUCUACUGGGGGCCUUGUCCCAGUUGUCAGACAGUUAUUUAUUUCAGUCAUGUAGUAGAGACUUCACAGACGUUUUAGAGAUGUUGUUUGAGAUUGUGGGACAUUAUUCCCCAUUAUUGCUUUUAUAUGAUUCCUGACCAUGUUUUUCGUUAUACUGUGUAUCUUCCGCAUUUUCAUUGUCAUAUAAGCUCAUGUGCAUGAUUACCAGACAGAUAGGGGUGUUCCGAGCCUUAUGGUUCGGAAUGCUCGUCACGUCCAGGGCCCCGGUUUUGAUCAUGACAAACUUGGUAUCAAAGCGCAUGGUUCAUGGUCCCAGGGUGUCUGUGAAAUCGCGUCGGGUAGAAUCUUUUUGAUGGGUGUGUAGCGCGCCACACUUAUAAGCGGGAAGCUACUAGGCGUUUAGGAAAUGUUUCCCUUCUUUGUGAAUUAGUUCGUGCUUCAGAGUCAAGUCUGGUCCUAAUUAGAAAUCUUUUGGUCUUACAGAAAUAACGGUCAUGCCUCCUCGUCGCAAUGCUAAUCAGAGUGAUCAGAAUGAGGAAGUCCGUCCCACUCAUGGGAUGAGGACACGUAUCCUACUCUAGACCCUGUCCCUACUCUGGGAGUCCCUCCUGUUCCAACCAGUACACUUCGGGCUCCACAGACCAAUAUGAACCAUCCCCCGACUACUCAGGGAACAUAUCAAACGCAGAGUUCAGGCAGUCUAUUCAUAUGUUGACACAGUUGGUGGAUGCACAGACUCAGCGGUCAGAGGAUACCAGGUCUGCAUUUGUUAUUUCUGGAGCUACUUGAGUAAGCCAAUUCAUGAGGAUGAACCCUCCCAAAUUCACACGUAAUAAGGUAGAAGAAGAUCCGCAGGAAUUUGUGGAUGAAAUGGAAAAGAUUUUCAAAGUGAUGCAUGUUGAUGAGGUAGAAGGGGUAGAAUUGGUAGCAUACCAGCUGAAAGAGGUGGUGAAUCAGUGGUACAACGAUUGGGAAAAUGUGAAGGGCGACAAUGCCGAGCCCUCAAUAUGGAAUGAGUUUGUUGAUGCUUUCCUUGACAGGUUCUUCCCUCUGGAGCUGAGGGAAGCUAAAGGAGAAGAGUUCAUAAACCUCAAGCAGGGUAAGAUGAGCGUGCAGGAGUACACUUUGAAAUUCAACCAGCUGGCCUGUUAUGCUCCUGAGAUGACGGGUAGUAUGAGGGCCCGAAUGAGGAAGUUUGCAUCCGGCCUUUCUGAUGACCUGGUGCUUGAUUUCCAGGGAGUUAUGUUGAACAAGGAAUUGGACUUUGCUAGGCUAACCGUUCAUAUACAGGUAGAAGAGAAAAAGAAGAAAAUUUCUGAGGCUAGGGAGCUAGAAAGACAGGCAAAAAGAGCGAGAUCUGCAGACCAGGGUCACAGCCACCCUCAAAGCAGUAAGUAGGGAAAUAAAUGGCAUAAGAAUAAGAAUUGGGGUAAUGCACAGUCUUCUGCCAGCGCCCUAGCGCCCAAACCACCAGCAGACAGACGAUCUCGGAGUUUCCAGACUCAUCAUGGAUCGAGAGCCCCAGAUACUCGGUCGCAGGGCAGUGUGGCCCAGCAGCGUCGUACUUAUCCACGUUGUGAUAUUUGUGGAAAGAAUCACCCAGGAAGGUGCUUUUACGAGGGGAAAAAAUUGUUAUACUUAUGGCAAGGUGGGUCACUUUCAGAAAGAUUGCCCUUCUGCUGGAGGAAAUGCGGAGGGGGCUAUGCCCCAAGUCGCGUCCACGGCUUCUCCUCCUAAGGGAGCUCUUUCAGCUGUCGAGAGCGGUCGUAACCGGUUAUAUGCUUUGGCUAACCACCAGGAGGCGGAAGCUUUACCAGAUGUUGUCACCGAUACGUUACGGAUCUUUUCUAGUGAUGUUUAUGUAUUGCUUGAUCCCGGGUCUACUUUAUCUUAUGUGACCCCUUAUGUGGUUAUUGGUUUUGGGUUCGAGCUCGAAGUUAUUGUAGAACCCUUCACUGUUUCCACUCCUGUAGGUGAUUUUGUUGUUGCUAGAAGGGUGUAUAGAAAUUGUGUUGUGUCUGUUCUUAGUCGGGAUACUGUGGCAGACCUUAUAGAACUUGAUAUGAUAGAUUUUGAUGCUAUCUUUGGGAUGGACUGGCUUCAUUCGUGUUAUGCCACACUUGAUUGCAGAACCCGUAAGGUUACUUUUUCUUUUUUGAAUGAGACACCAAUUGAGUGGGCUGGGAAUUCUGUGGCACCUAAAGGUCACUUCAUCUCUUAUCUUAGAGCCCGAAAACUCAUCUCCAGAGGUUGUAUGUAUCAUCUAAUCCGAGUAAAAGAUUCUAGAGUUGAAAAUCUUCCUUUUCAGUCUGUCCCUGUAGUGAAUGAGUUUCCAGAAGUCGUUCUCAAAGAUCUCGAUCUUCCAGGGAUACCACUUAAUAGGGAGAUAGAUUUUGGCGUUGAUGUAUUGCCGGACACUCGUCCUAUUUCCAUUCCGCCAUAUAGAAUGGCUCCCGCGGAACUAAGAGUUAAAAGAGCAGCUUGCAGACCUCCUAGGCAAAGGCUUUAUUCGUCCUAGUGUUUCCCCAUGGGGUGCACUGAUACUUUUCGUGCGAAAGAAGGAUGGGUCCCUUCGUAUGUGCAUAGACUACCGCCAGUUGAAUAAGGUCACAAUUAAAAACAAAUAUCCUCUUCUUAGGAUUGAUGAUCUUUUUGACCAGCUUCAGGGUGCUAAGUGUUUCUCGAAAUAGACAUUCAUUCGAGCUAUCAUCAGUUGAAGGUUAGUGAGUCAGACAUUCCCAAAACAGCUUUCCAAACUCGAUAUGGUCAUUAUGAGUUCUUAGUCAUGUCUUUCGGAUUGACCAAUGCCCCUGCAGCCUUCAUGGAUUUUAUGAAUAGGAUGUUCCAUCAGUUUCUAGACUUGUUCGUCAUAGUGUUCAUAGAUGAUAUUCUGAUCUAUUCCAAAAGUGAGGAGGACCAUGCCAAUCAUCUCUGAAUUAUCCUUCAGACCCUUAAGGAUCAUCAGUUGUAUGCUAAGUUCUCCAAAUGUGAAUUCUGGCUGAAUGUUAUCGUUUUCUUGGGGCAUAUUGUAUCUAGUGACGAGAUUAGAGUGGAUCCUCAAAAGAUUGAGGCAGUGAGAAAAUGGUCCAGACCCCCGACUCUAACCGAUAUUCAAAGCUUCUUGGACCUGGCAGGUUAUUACAGAAGAUUCGUAGAAAGUUUUUCUUCCAUAGCUGCUCCGCUUACUAAAUUGACUCAGAAAAAGGUGAAGUUUAUGUGGUCUGAUCUAUGUGAAAAUAGUUUUGAGAAGUUAAAAAACAAACUGACCACUGCUCCUGUUUUGACCCUUCCCGAGGGUGUAGAUGACUUUGUGGUUUACUGUGAUGCGUCCCGUGUGGGACUUGGUUGUGUAUUGAUGCAGCGUGGUAAGGUGAUAUCUUAUGCAUCUAGGCAGUUAAAGGUGCACGAGCGAAAUUACCCCACUCAUGACUUGGACUUAGCUGCUGUGGUGUUUGCGCUCAAAAUUUGGAGGUAUUAUCUCUAUGGAGUGCAUGUUGAUAUUUAUACUGACCACAAAAGUUUGCAGUAUAUUUUCUCGCAGAAAGAAUUGAACCUCAGGCAGAGGCGUUGGAUGAAACUUUUGAAAGACUAUGAUAUGAGCCUACAUUAUCAUCCGGGCAAGGCAAAUGUUGUAGCCGACGCCCUCAGCAGGUUGUCUAUGGGCAGCCUUUCUCAUGUUAAAGAGGCGAAGAAAGAGAUGGUGAAGGAUAUUCACUGCCUUGCAAAUCUGAGAGUGCGACUCUUAGAUUCCGAGGAUGGAGGGGUGAUUGUUCAUGAGUUAGCUAAGUCAUCCCUUUGUGCUGAAGCUAAGGAGAAGCAGGUUAAAGAUCCCAUCUUGAUGCAAAUCAAGAAAGAUGUGGGUCAACAAAAGGUAAUGUCAUUCGAAAUUAGUGGUGAUGGUAUCUUGAGGUUUCAGGGCAGAUUAUGUGUACCAGAUGUAGAUGACUUACGAAAGAGAAUUCUUGACGAAGCUCACACCUCGAGGUAUGUUGUUCAUCCUGGUUCUACUAAGAUGUACCAUGAUUUGAAAUCUAUUUAUUGGUGGAAUAAUAUGAAGCGAGAUGUGGCUAACUUUGUUUCUAAGUGCAUGAAUUGCCAACAAGUGAAAAUAGAACAUUUGAGGCCAGGACGUACUUCCCAAGAGAUAGCUUUGCCCUUGUGGAAGUGGGAGAUGAUAAAUAUGGACUUCAUUAUAGGACUUCCAAAGUCCCGGAACCAGUAUGACUCCAUUUGGGUGAUUGUAGAUCGGUUGACAAAGUCAGCUCACUUUCUGCCUGUGAGGACUAGUUAUUCGGGAGAUGACCAUGCGAAGUUGUACAUUGAAGAAAUAGUCCGUCUACAUGGAGCACCUAUCUUUAUUAUAUCCGACCGAGGUACGCAAUUUUCUUCUCAGUUUUGGAGGUUGUUUCAGAAGGGUUUAGGUACCCAAGUGAACUUAAGUACAGCCUUCCACCCUCAGACCGAUGGGCAAGUUGAGCGCACCAUUCAGACCCUUGAGGAUAUAUUGAGAGCUUGUGUAAUAGAUUUCAAGGGUAGUUGGGUAGAUCAUUUGCCGUUGAUAGAGUUCGCUUACAAUAAUAGCUUCCAUUCCAGUAUUAAAAUGGCACCAUUUGAAGCCUUGUAUGGGAGAAGAUGCAGGUCUCCUAUAGGGUGGUAUGAAGUUGGUGAGACGAGGUUGUUUGGGCCUGAUCUUGUUCAUCAGGCAAUGGAGGAUGUGGAAUUAAUCAGAGAACGACUUAAGACGGCUCAGAGUCGUUAGAAAUCCUAUGCUGAUGUUAGAAGAAGAGAGUUAGAGUUUGAGGUUGGAGAUUGGGUAUUCCUUAAAGUUUCUCCCAUGAAGGGAGUUAUGCAAUUCGGGAAGAAAGAAAAGUUAAGUCCCCGCUAUAUAGGACCAUACCAAGUUGUAAAAAGGAUAGGUGGAGUUGCAUACGAGUUAGAGCUGCCUGCAAAUUUGGGUUCUAUUCACCCGGUAUUCUAUAUAUCUAUGUUGAAGAAGUGCAUUGGAGAUCAUUCGAUAGUGUUACCUGUAGAAAAAAUCAAAGUGACUGAUUCCUUGUCUUAUGAAGAAGAGCCUGUAGCAAUUUUGGAUUGCCAAGUUAGAAAGUUAAGGAGCAAAGAAAUAGCCUCAGUUAAAGUAUUAUGGCGAAAUCAAAAAGUUAAAGAAGCAACUUGGGAGUCAGAAGCCGACAUGAGAAAUAGAUACCCGCAUUUAUUUGAUCCAGUGAAUGAUGAGAUGGAAGGUACAAUUCUUGUCCUAUGUCUUCUUUUCUAUAUCUGAGUAUACUUGAAAUCGUGCGUGACUGUAUUCCGUGUCAUCAUUCGGGAACGAAUGAUCCCAAGGGGGAUAAUGUAACGCCCUGCAUUUUGGGCUACAAUAUAGACCAUGACUCCGAUGCAUUGAUAAUUUCGAAUCCAUAAAUCCUAUGCCAAUAUGGCAUGUUAAUUAUUUGUGUAGGAUGUGAACUCAUUCAAGCUUGAAUGUAAACCAUAGAGGUCCUUUGACUCAAGGACGAGUUGAAAACUAUUUCUAUCGAUUAAGUUUUAGUGGAUAUUGUAAAUUGUGUCAGCUUCUAUCGACCAUAACUCUUUGUAUAUGUUGAAUUAGAGAAUUAGAGAGCCUACUAUGUGUAAAAUGAUAGGUUUUCGAGUUAGCUUUCCAAUGAUACCAAUUUUGCUAAAAUCUGACACCCGAGCAAGAAGUUAUGGCCUUUCAAAGUAGAAUGCGUCGCCUAACCAAUCGCAUAUGGCCACUGGAAAGCAUAGGCGAUAGCAUAGGCGGCGCCUAUGUAAAUAUAGGCGAUAGCAUAGGCAGCGCCUAUGUAAAUAUAGGCGAUAGCAUAUGCAGCGCAUAUCUUAUGGUUUCAAGUGACUUAAACACUCCGUUUUUGGGGCAAAAUGGUCCUUUUCCCACCCUUAUUCAGCCAUAAACAAGAAAUUUAGUCCUCAAUUCUCCAAAAUACAUCCAUUAUCAUCAAAUUGCUCCAAGAACUUGCAUAAGGGUUUCGAAAUAAAAAUCCACAUAACUCAAGAUUUAACCGUGGGUUUUCAAACAAAUUGAAGAUUUGAAAUCCCCAAGUCAAGGGCAUCAAGAAGCACCCUUUUGAAUUCCUAAAUAGAGGUACGUGGGGUUAUCCAAAAAUCUCAUGGGUCUUUAAAAAUUCAUGUUUUCAAAUGGGGUUUUUGAAAUUACAAAUAUGACUAUGUAUUGAACAUUUUAUGUAAUUGAUCUGGUCUGUAGGCCUAUUUUCAAAGUGAUUCGAUAUAUGAAAUAUGUAUAUGCAUGUAUUCCGAAAAGAUGUUAACUUGAGAGCAUGAAUGAUAUGAAAUCCCUCUUUUGAUAUGAAAUCCCUCUUUUGAUAUGAAAUUGUUUUGAAUUUUCAUAUGACGUGAAUUGUUUUGAAAUCAUCUUGACAAGCAUGACAUGAAAUCUUUUGAAAGUGAAUAUGAUUUUUGACUUGCAAAGAGAGGGAUUGUUAUGAUGAAAUAUGAUGAACAGAAUGACCGCAUGAAAGAAUGAUGUGAUAUUGAUGGCUUGCAAGUCGGGUAUGACGAUACCCUACAGAAUGACAUGUGAUUAAAUCAGAUGAAAUUUGAAGGCAUUGAUUUUACAUGAGAUAGGUGGAUGCCCGAAGAAGGUGUUUGAGUGUAAGGGCUCAUCGCUGGAAACCGUGUUUGACGACACGGGAAUUUGGUACCAGGCUAAGUGAACCUGUGUACUUGACUUUAUGUCAUUCCCAAAUUGGGACUAUAGGUAGGAACCCAGGCUAAGUGAUCUAGGGCACUACCACUGGGUCGAGACACUCUUGUGUGUCUUCCCCUCACGUAUACUCUAAUCUCGGCGGCAACCGGAGUUUGACAGUUGGUGUAAAUUACGUAGGGUAUUCCACCUAGCUCAUCUGCAUUACAUUGUAGUUGAAAAACUAUUACAUUAUGCCCAUGUGUUUUCAAAUGAAUUGAUAUGAAACUGCUUUAUAAUGGCUCUCACUUAUAUUUUGUAAAAAUAUUAUGUUUUGUUUUGAUAUCUCUGCGUACCAGUACUUUUGUAUUGACCCCCCCUUCCUCCCAGGUUCGGAGGCACAGUCUAGAGGUCCAGAAAAUCAGUAGAUUCCUCAGAAAGAUUUGCAGAGUUACUUGGUGAGCCUUCUAUAUUUCGAAAGGCCUGAUGUCUGGCAGUUUCAUUUAUCAGUUAUUAGUUUUGGGUCUACUGGGGGCCUUGUCCCAGUUUUCAGAUAUUUAUUUCAGUCAUGUAGUAGAGAGUUCGCAGACGUUUUAGAGAUGUUUGAGAUUGUGGGACAUUAUUCCCCAUUAUUGCUUUCAUAUGAUUCCUGACCAUGUUUUCCGUCAUAUUGUGUAUCUUCCGCAUUUUCAUUGUCAUAUAAGUUCAUGUGCAUGAUUACCAGACAGAUAGGGGUGUUCCGGGCCUUAUGGUUCGGAAUGCUCGUCACGGCCAGGGCCCCGGGUCGUGACAAUAAGUAUCUCAAUAGCACCCAUUUCCAGAACUUUUAAUGUAUCAUCAACCCCAAAGACGUACUUCCCUGUGUCCUGACUAAUCUCUUCAAAGUACUUACCGAUCAAUUUCUUCUCUUGUAUAAACUUCACAUUGGCUAAGAUCUCAGCAGAAAGCUCAAUUGCUUGGUUGAAACCAUUUUCCCCUCCAUAAGAAACAUCAACCACAUUUAGAAUCUUCGCCUGAAGACGAGGAUCAAACAUAUUAGACUGACUCAGCUCAGUUUUAAAGUCAGCAGAUCCAGCUAGUAUCAGGCCGGAGACAUUGGGCUGGCUGGUGGCAGGAUUUAUAUAAAAUUGGGUUGCAAGCUCUGCUGUCUUCCUCACAUAGUUGUGUCAUUUCUCCAUCCGGAGACGAGCAAAACGCAAGGCUGAUUGUCCUCCUCUUCCGUGUUUUUUGGGCAGAUCAACGCUAAACUUAUGAAGGACCUCACGGGUGUUGCCACUCAAUGUCCCAAAAAGAGUCCCAUUCCCGUCCAUCACUAUGAAUCCAAAUUUGUCAUCAGAUUCCAAAAGUUCAUUCAGGGCUUCUGUGUGGAACUUGUUAUCACAAAGAUAGAGCGAUGCAUUAAUGGGCUUGAACGGCUCAAAAUCAAUUGUAACCUUCUUCUCCUUCCCGUCAUCAGUCACAAUUGUUCCAGUAUAAAGGACAAGCCCAUUCGGUGGAACCUUGUUGUAGAGUUUCAGCCUCUGCUGAGCAGAUGUGAUUGUGCCAAGCACAGAUUGACGAUUCACUCUGCUCUUAAUAUUUGAUGCAGUUCCAAACUCAUCUCCAAGCAUCUUAGUAACACGAGAUACUUGAUCAUGUGGAGGCAUGAUAAGUGAAAUCAUGCUGGUUCCAUUGCCUCUAGCAGCUUCUAGGAAGGUUGAAGUACAUUAAACUUAUCUUGAAAGACUGGUUCUUGAAGAGUGCACAAGUUUGGUUGAAAUCAAUUUUUGUAUUGGAGAUCUUGGAAGGCUAGUCUUUCUGAAUCUGAAGAACUGCAGAAAUUUAAAGACCCUACCAGAGAGCGUUCAAUUGGAAAAGCUUGAAGUUUUUAUCCUAUCAGGCUGCUUAAAACUCAAAUCGUUUCCAGAAAUAGAAGGGAAAAUGAAUUGUUUAACAGAACUAUAUUUGGGAGCGACUGCUUUGAGUGAACUGCCCGCAUCAAUUGAAAACAAGUUCAAAACCAUAUUAAAACAUGAAUAAUCAUAAUUAAACCAUGGGAAAACAUUGUUCAACAAUAAGCAUUCAAAACACACAACCCUUGAUUUCAAAAAUAAAAUAAUUCCAUGUGAAUAACAUUUUAAUACAUAUGCUUUAUAACAAAUUAAGAAUGAGGGACGAGUCACAUGCCUGAGAUAGUAAGAUGUACAGAGCGACCCUUGAAAGCCCUAAUUGAUCAACCUCUUGAAAACCCUAAGUGUUCUUGACCUUGAGAAAUUUGAGAGUGUUGAGAAGUUACU